ACGAAGUAGCAAUACUUAGUGGCAGACGGGUGAGUAACAUGUAGGUAUCUUCCCUUUGGCCUGGAAUAACACGAGGAAACUUGUGCUAAUACCGGAUAAGUCUUUACGGAGAAAGCUUUAUGCACCAUUGGAUGAGCCUGCACUUGAUUAGUUUGUUGGUGGGGUAAUGGCCUACCAAGACUUUGAUCAAUAGCUGAUUUGAGAGGAUGAUCAGCCACAUUGGGACUGAGACACGGCCCAAACUCCUACGGGAGGCAGCAGUGGGGAAUCUUGCACAAUGGAGGAAACUCUGAUGCAGCGAUGCCGCGUGAGUGAAGAAGGCCUUUGGGUUGUAAAGCUCUUUCGUCGGGGAAGAAAAUGACUGUACCCGAAUAAGAAGGUCCGGCUAACUUCGUGCCAGCAGCCGCGGUAAUACGAAGGGACCUAGCGUAGUUCGGAAUUACUGGGCUUAAAGAGUUCGUAGGUGGUUGAAAAAGUUGGUGGUGAAAUCCCAGAGCUUAACUCUGGAACUGCCAUCAAAACUUUUCAGCUAGAGUUUGAUAGAGGAAAGCAGAAUUUCUAGUGUAGAGGUGAAAUUCGUAGAUAUUAGAAAGAAUACCAAUUGCGAAGGCAGCUUUCUGGAUCAUUACUGACACUGAGGAACGAAAGCAUGGGUAGCGAAGAGGAUUAGAUACCCUCGUAGUCCAUGCCGUAAACGAUGUGUGUUAGACGUUGGAAAUUUAUUUUCAGUGUCGCAGCGAAAGCGAUAAACACACCGCCUGGGGAGUACGACCGCAAGGUUAAAACUCAAAUGAAUUGACGGGGACCCGCACAAGUAGUGGAGCAUGUGGUUUAAUUCGAAGAUACGCGCAGAACCUUACCAACACUUGACAUGUUCGUCGCAACUUUAAGAGAUUAAAGUUUUCGGUUCGGCCGGACGAAACACAGGUGCUGCAUGGCUGUCGUCAGCUCGUGUCGUGAGAUGUUGGGUUAAGUCCCGCAACGAGCGCAACCCUCACUUUUAGUUGCCAUCAUUAAGUUGGGCACUCUGAA
rnacentral:rRNA from 1 species